rnacentral:rRNA from 1 species
UACGUAGGGUGCGAGCGUUAAUCGGAAUUACUGGGCGUAAAGCGUGCGCAGGCGGUUUUGUAAGCCAGAUGUGAAAGCCCCGGGCUUAACCUGGGAAUGGCAUUUGGGACUGCAAGGCUUGAGUGCGGCAGAGGAGACUGGAAUUCCUGGUGUAGCAGUGAAAUGCGUAGAUAUCGAGAGGAACACCUGCGGCGAAGGCGGGUUGCUGGGCUGACACUGACGCUGAUGCGCGAAAGCCAGGGGAGCGAACGGG